CAGCAGCCGCGGGAAUACGUAGGGUGCGAGCGUUAAUCGGAAUUACUGGGCGUAAAGCGUGCGCAGGCGGUUUUGUAAGACAGGCGUGAAAUCCCCGGGCUCAACCUGGGAAUGGCGCUUGUGACUGCAAAGCUAGAGUGCGGCAGAGGGGGAUGGAAUUCCGCGUGUAGCAGCGAAAUGCGUAGAUAUGCGGAGGAACACCGAUGGCGAAGGCAAUCCCCUGGGCCUGCGCUGACGCUCAUGCACGAAAGCGUGGGGAGCAAACAGGAUUAGAUACCCGUGUAGUCCCUGUCUCUUAACA
rnacentral:rRNA from 1 species